rnacentral:rRNA from 3 species
UACGUAGGGUCCAAGCGUUGUCCGGAUUUAUUGGGCGUAAAGAGCUCGUAGGCGGCUCGGUAAGUCGGAUGUGAAACCUCCAGGCUCAACCUGGAGUCGCCAUCCGAUACUGCUGUGGCUUGAGUCCGGUAGGGGAGCAUGGAAUUCCUGGUGUAGCGGUGAAAUGCGCAGAUAUCAGGAGGAACACCAGUGGCGAAGGCGGUGCUCUGGGCCGGUACUGACGCUGAGGAGCGAAAGCGUGGGGAGCAAACAGG